UACGUAGGGCGCAAGCGUUGUUCGGAAUUACUGGGCGUAAAGCGCGCGUAGGCGGGUUAGAAAGUCGAUUGUGAAAGCCCUGGGCUUAACCUGGGAAUGGCAGUCGAAACUCCUAAUCUUGAAUGUCUGAGAGGAUGGCGGAAUUCCCGGUGUAGUAGUGAAAUACGUAGAUAUCGGGAAGAACACCUGAGGCGAAGGCGGCUAUCUGGCGGUACAUUGACGCUGAUGCGCGAAAGCGUGGGGAGCAAACAGG
rnacentral:rRNA from 1 species